rnacentral:tRNA from 3 species
GGACUCAUAGCUCAGUUGGUUAGAGCGCUACGUUGACAUCGUAGAGGUCGUUGGUUCGAAUCCAAUUGAGUCCACCA